GACGAACGCUGGCGGCGCGCCUAACACAUGCAAGUCGAACGAGCGAGAGAGAGCUUACUUUCUCGAGCGAGUGGCGAACGGGUGAGUAACGCGUGAGGAACCUGCCUCAAAGAGGGGGACAACAGUUGGAAACGACUGCUAAUACCGCAUAAGCCCACGGCUCGGCAUCGAGCAGAGGGAAAAGGAGCAAUCCGCUUUGAGAUGGCCUCGCGUCCGAUUAGCUAGUUGGUGGGGUAACGGCCCACCAAGGCGACGAUCGGUAGCCGGACUGAGAGGUUGAACGGCCACAUUGGGACUGAGACACGGCCCAGACUCCUACGGGAGGCAGCAGUGGGGAAUAUUGCACAAUGGGGGAAACCCUGAUGCAGCGACGCCGCGUGGAGGAAGAAGGUCUUCGGAUUGUAAACUCCUGUUGUUGAGGAAGAUAAUGACGGUACUCAACAAGGAAGUGACGGCUAACUACGUGCCAGCAGCCGCGGUAAAACGUAGGUCACAAGCGUUGUCCGGAAUUACUGGGUGUAAAGGGAGCGCAGGCGGGAAGACAAGUUGGAAGUGAAAUCCAUGGGCUCAACCCAUGAACUGCUUUCAAAACUGUUUUUCUUGAGUAGUGCAGAGGUAGGCGGAAUUCCCGGUGUAGCGGUGGAAUGCGUAGAUAUCGGGAGGAACACCAGUGGCGAAGGCGGCCUACUGGGCACCAACUGACGCUGAGGCUCGAAAGUGUGGGUAGCAAACAGGAUUAGAUACCCUGGUAGUCCACACUGUAAACGAUGAUUACUAGGUGUUGGAGGAUUGACCCCUUCAGUGCCGCAGUUAACACAAUAAGUAAUCCACCUGGGGAGUACGACCGCAAGGUUGAAACUCAAAGGAAUUGACGGGGGCCCGCACAAGCAGUGGAGUAUGUGGUUUAAUUCGACGCAACGCGAAGAACCUUACCAAGUCUUGACAUCCUGCGACGCACAUAGAAAUAUGUGUUUCCUUCGGGACGCAGAGACAGGUGGUGCAUGGUUGUCGUCAGCUCGUGUCGUGAGAUGUUGGGUUAAGUCCCGCAACGAGCGCAACCCUUAUGGUCAGUUACUACGCAAGAGGACUCUGGCCAGACUGCCGUUGACAAAACGGAGGAAGGUGGGGAUGACGUCAAAUCAUCAUGCCCUUUAUGACUUGGGCUACACACGUACUACAAUGGCGUUAAACAAAGAGAAGCAAGACCGCGAGGUGGAGCAAAACUCAGAAACAACGUCCCAGUUCGGACUGCAGGCUGCAACUCGCCUGCACGAAGUCGGAAUUGCUAGUAAUCGCAGAUCAGCAUGCUGCGGUGAAUACGUUCCCGGGCCU
rnacentral:rRNA from 1 species